rnacentral:lncRNA from 13 species
CAACUGACCAGGGCGGAUGCUGGAUAGUGGCCUCUACUGAGUGGGGGUGUCCGUGGGGAUGCCAGAGGCUGGGGUGCAGGUGGAGCAUGUGAGUGCCCCAGCUGGGCCACUGCAGCUGUGGCUGGCUCAUGGGUACCCUGGCAGAUGCACUGGUCACAGUGGUGAGCCGCAGGCAUUGAAAGCUGCCGGGAGUCCUCACUCUGGACCCAGCGCCUCGACCGCCGGGGAUGUGAGUUCUGCGACGUCCUCAGCGAUGUGCACCAGACACCAGCACACUCCCUACGGCACUGAAAACCGGCGGCCAAGCGCCUUGUCACCUUUUCUACGACCUGGAGACUCAGGGAUGGGAUGAUGCCUGUGGAAGCCAUGAAUGUGCACCUCGGAGGAUCUGGAAGAUCGGGGAAGACCCUGGCUGAGCCCCCUGCAAGUGAUUGCUGGGGAAGGAGCCUGGGUGUGCAGUCUGAUGGCCCCAGCUGCUGCUGGUCUCACGCUGUGGCCUUGGGCAAAAUGACCAUCAUCGCCAACCUCAGCAUCCUCUUCCGUGGAGGGACCAAUGACCACGUCCAAAGGUGAUUCUUUCUGUGUUGCUCUUUCUCGUCUUUCAACGCCAGUCCAAUCUCAGCCGGAGGAAAGGCAGGGCCGACAAGAGCAGCAGCCCGUGUGCUCAGCAGGCUUCCUGCACACCCCAAAGUGCACCACGGUGCCUGGCUCACUCAGAUGAUUUAAAGAUGAAGCCAGUUGGAAGUAAUUGUUUAGAUUAAACUCCAUUACCCU